rnacentral:rRNA from 1 species
UACGAAGGGGGCUAGCGUUGCUCGGAAUCACUGGGCGUAAAGGGUGCGUAGGCGGGUCUUUAAGUCAGGGGCGAAAUCCUGGAGCUCAACUCCAGAACUGCCUUUGAUACUGAGGAUCUUGAGUCCGGGAGAGGUGAGUGGAACUGCGAGUGUAGAGGUGAAAUUCGUAGAUAUUCGCAAGAACACCAGUGGCGAAGGCGGCUCACUGGCCCGGUACUGACGCUGAGGUGCGAAAGCGUGGGGAGCAAACAGG